rnacentral:tRNA from 1 species
CGUAGCGCAAUUGGAUAGAGCGUCAGACUACGGAUCUGGAGGUUGAGGGUUCAAAUCCUUCCGGGC